CCUAGCCAAAACCAAAUGGCGCCCCGAGAUGUAAUAGUACGCCUUCACUACUUUACUGUUAAAGAAGCCAUCAUGGCGGCCACACGAAAAACUCCGCCAAAAUUUGACGCCAUCACUCUUCAGUUUUACCAAGACGUCUCACCUACCACAUUAAUGAAACGCAGAGAGCUCAAACCCCUAACCAGCGCACUGGCACAAGCCAACAUACCAUACCGAUGGGGACACCCCUUCAAGCUACUAGUCCGCCAACAUGAUAGUACCCACGUCCUGCAAGAUACCUCAAAAAUGGCGCCCUUCGCUGCCGCACUGGGCAUCAGCCUACCCGAAGCAUGAGCGCAAUCCAGAAAACCAGCGGACAACGCCAGACCACAAAGGACGCCACUCUGGGAAAAACUUCGGACACCCCGGAGCCGACCACCCAAGCGCCAGCAGCAGACAUCG